rnacentral:rRNA from 1 species
UACGUAGGGUGCAAGCGUUAAUCGGAAUUACUGGGCGUAAAGCGUGCGCAGGCGGUUCUAUAAGACAGAUGUGAAAUCCCCGGGCUCAACCUGGGAACUGCAUCUGUGACUGCAUCGCUGGAGUGCGGCAGAGGGGGAUGGAAUUCCGCGUGUAGCAGUGAAAUGCGUAGAUAUGCGGAGGAACACCGAUGGCGAAGGCAAUCCCCUGGGCCUGCACUGACGCUCAUGCACGAAAGCGUGGGGAGCAAACAGG